rnacentral:rRNA from 1 species
CCCUACGGGGGGCAGCAGUCGAGAAUCAUUCACAAUGGGGGAAACCCUGGUGGUGCGACGCCGCGUGGGGGAAUGAAGGUCUUCGGAUUGUAAACCUCUUUUGCCGGGGAGCAAAAAGCGGUACGUGUACCGCAUCGAGAGUACCCGGAGAAAAAGCAUCGGCUAACUCCGUGCCAGCAGCCGCGGUAAUACGGAGGAUGCGAGCGUUAUCCGGAUUUAUUGGGUUUAAAGGGUGCGCAGGCGGCGAGUUAAGUCAGCGGUAAAAUUUCGGGGCUCAACCCCGACGAGCCGUUGAAACUGGCUUG